rnacentral:rRNA from 1 species
CGCCGCGUGCGGGAAGAAUGGCUUCGGCCUGUAAACCGCUUUUCUGCCGGAAAAAGUAGCAAUACUGAUUGUACGGCAGGAAUAAGGGGUUGCUAACCUCGUGCCAGCCCCGCACCAAAGAUUUUGGUGGCGGGGCGACCAAAAGCAACAAAAUUUCGUAUUAUCAAGCGCGCGACCUAUGGCCGCAAGGCCAUUUGAAUAACUCGGCUCAUAAUGCUGGAAACCUGUGAAUUUUGGCUGCAAAUCGCACAAAGCGAUUCUUCAUAGGCAAUCAGCAGGGAAGUCGCCCCGCCCAAAAAGCGGAGUUGACCCCUCAGAGACUGAUCUCUAUCGCCGAAUUGGCGAAACGAGUGAGAAUGAAUGCAAUACGUAUUCAUUCAGACGCCGAGCCCCCAAAUAGAAAUUGGGGUGGUGGUAUAGUCCAAGUUCCGUGUUCAAAAGACAAAAUCUUUUGGUGACGGGGCCAGCAGCCGCGGUAAUACGAGGACCCCGAGCGUUAUCCGGAUUUAUUGGGCGUAAAGGGUCUGUAGGCGGUCUGCCAAGUCGGGUGUUAAAGCCCGGAGCUUAACUCCGGAAAUGCGUCCGAUACUGGCAAACUUGGAGGACGGGAGAGGCUGAUGGAACCUAUGGUGUAGGGGUGAAAUCCGUUGAUAUCAUAGGGAACACCAAAGGCGAAGGCAUUCAGCUGGUCCGUUCCUGACGCUGAAAGACGAAAGCGUGGGGAGCAAAAAGGAUUAGAUACCCUUGUAGUCCACGCCCUAAACGAUGCUGACUGGCUAUUUGGAGAAUCGACCCUCCGAGUGGCGAAGCUAACGCGUUAAGUCAGCCGCCUGGGAAGUACGGCCGCAAGGCUAAAACUCAAAGGAAUAGACGGGAGCUCGCACAAGCGGUGGAACAUGAGGUUUAAUUCGACAAUAACCGAGGAACCUUACCAGGGCUGGAAACCCGGUUGAACUCCGGAGGAAACUCCGGGGGUCUUCAAGGACAACCGGGUCAGGUGCUGCAUGGUCGUCGUCAGCUCGUGGCUUGAGCUGUUCCGUUAAGUCGGGAAACGAGCGCAACCCCCGUUGCCUGUUACAAGUGUCAGGCGAGACCGCCCACCCCAAAGUCUGUAGGACUUUGGGAAAUAUUGAUAUUUCGAUAUAUCAAAAUAUCCCAAAAAUCUGCGGUUUUUGGGGUGGGAGGAAGGUGGGGAUGACGUCAGAUCAGCAUGGCCCUUUGAUGCCCUGGGCUACACUCGUGUUACAAUGGGAGGCACAAUGGGUUGCCAAGCCGCAAGGCGGAGCCAAUCCCAUCAAAACCUCUCCCAGUUCGGAUUGAGGGCUGAAACUCGCCCUCAUGAAGUUGGAAUCGCUAGUAAUCGCGGAUCAGCUAUGCCGCGGUGAAUACGUUCUCGAGCUUUGUACUCGGGUCGCCGCGCGAUUCCAUAAACUAGCCUGUUAAAAUCGGGCCGGAAAAGACGCAAUUUUCCGAAGCGAAAUCGCAGUCCCGACGCGUGAGCGGUCGGGAUGAAGGGCGAAAG